rnacentral:lncRNA from 1 species
UCUUUAUUUCAUCCAGCAAUCAUGUUUUUAUACCCAUUACACAUUUUGUAAAAUUAAAAACUACUGGGGGUUUCUUUAAUAAAAUAAAUAUAAAUUUAAGAAUUGGGGAUUUAGGGAAAUCACGAUGAUUUAAACCCUGCCCAAAUCAAAAUCGUUCAGCCAUCCGGGUGCGCGUCUGUUGCGUGUACUUCUCCGGCUCGGCUCCGGUUCAUGACCGCUCAACGGUUCUGGAUCGACGCUCUGCGCGAUUUCAGAAUUUGAUUCUUCUUCUUCUGGCACGGCUGCAGCUCUGAUGUGCUCUACAUCCUCCCUUAAUGUGCUGAAGUUUACCGGAGUCGCAUCACAACCACAAAAUAGGAUAGCAAUAUAAUAUUUAACCAAGACAGCUUAUAAGUAUUUGAUAUGCUACAAUGAGUACCCCGAUAACAUGUUAAUCAUCUAACAUCAGAGAUAAUUAAGAAACUGCAAUAAAAUUGAUAGCAACAAAGAGGGCAGUAAUAUAAUAUUAAACAGUUUAUAUGCUAAUCUAGCAUGCAAUUCGAUAGUAUCAUGCUACAAUGAGUACUUCGAUAACAUGUUAAUCACCUGACAUCAGAGAUAAUUAAUAAACUGCAAUACUAUAAAACAGCUAUGACACACUAAAGAUAGCAAUAGAAUAUUAAACCAACUAAACUCAAUCACUACAGUGAGCCAAUAAUUGUCAAAUCCAUGGAUCGGAUGACCCAAGGUGUUUGGGGUGUCCUACUAUUUUCAAUACUUUAUCAUUCAUGAACAUACCCAUCAAGAUCGGAUCUACUCUGAUGCUUCUUUUUAUUCACCAUCUACCCUUUAUUUCCAUCAAUCAUAUCUCUUAUCUCACUUUCAAAUCUAAAACUCUACAUACCUCCUCCGUUGCCCGUCGAGUUUCACACCACGAUAUCGGUGCUCCUUUACAGAUCCAAACCACGAUGCCCUAGCCGUCCUCCUUUUCUCCUAGCCGCCCUCCUCCUUCCAUGUUACCCUUUUUAUUUCAAUCAUUCCUUUCUAACAUUUUCUUUUUAUAUUCAUGGUAUUUUACCUUUCUACCCUUAAACGGGUUACAUACAAUUAAUAACCGGUCACAUACAAUAACCAGUUAUUACACUCCGAGCAAAGGAAAAUCUUAUGUUAAAAAUUUAAUUUUUAACAAAACUGUUGGGUCACAUGCAAGGGGUAAAGGCAGAUGGGGGUAAGAGGAGGGUGUAGAGGAUCGAGUGGAAGAGGAGCGCAAGGCAAGGAAAAGCUCCGUCGGAACUGGACCUGAGGGAUCGGAUGAAUUGGGAUUUCUUGCCAAUAGUUUCACACCUAAUUACAUUUAGAGGAAGGCUUUCUACCCAAGGACAGAUUAGGAGGAGGAACGGUGCCACAUAUGGGCAGGGUUGGCCAGAGAGGGUUUCUUGCAAUUUACCUCUGACGUCUUGGAAUUGAAGAGGAGGAAAAGAGUCCGAGAAGGGGAUGGAACAGAAGAGGAUCUCAAGAUACUAGGAAUACAGAGGGCUGAAGAGACAUAGAGGAGGAGGGAAAAUAAGAAUUUAAAUUGGAAAGGUAAACCCAUCUUCACGUCACUGCUGAAACCAGCGUCGGAGCUGACAGAGAACGAGUCAACAAAAUUAACCUACAUUGAACCAACGACAUAUAAUGGAAUAAGAGGGGCAAAUUUACAGAAAGAGAUUAUUCAAAAAAUCAACGACAGGUAUCCCGGUAUACACUUAUAGUUAGAAGGUUACCAGAAGAAAAAAUAGGUAUCAAUUUUGCAACCCAAUUUGUGCAGGGUUGUUGGGGCAUCGUCGAUGACAAAUUUAAUAUCCAAUUGAGGAGAAACAUAAAGUUCGCCCCAGGAGAUCUAGUUCUAAGAAACACUCGAUUAACCUUGACUGAACAAAAUAAGGGAAAAUUAUCACAGAAAUGGGAAGGACCCUACAUCAUCAAAGGAGAAUGGAAAGACGGCAUGUUUAAACUGGUCAAAGAAGACGGAAAAGAAUACCAAGAACCUGACAUGCUAAUAAUCUCAAAAAAUAUUUCCAAUAAUCGUCAAGUCACCAAGUGUUUGUGAAUAGUGUAAAAAUAUGUAAAUAUUAUCGUAAAGAAUAAAAGUUAAUCUUUUUCUCAGUUUUUGACAAUUUUAUCAUCUCAGGAAAAUCAUUAACUCAAGGUUACAAAAAAGAAAGAAAAGAAGGAAAAAAUCUCAAAGGUAAAACAUACAAUUUUUUAUUUUUCAUUUUAUCAAAUGACUACCGAUCCAAGGGUCAAAAUAGUUACUCUAUAAGAUCAAAGUAAAUUUUUGGCGGUGAAAAUAAAACCAAAACAGUUUGCUCUAAUGAAACAGUUGAAGAAGGAAUGAAAAAUAAAGAACAGAAGGAACAUUUUUCUACCACUUUGCUACAUAACCAGUCUGUCCGACCACUUUGCUCUAAUUUUGGAGUUAAGGAAGCUACACGCCACCUUUCAUAUUCACAAACUCCUGGUUAAAGAGAGAGGGAUCAAAUUAAAGAGGUGGUGGAAAGAGCGUACGUGGAAUCUCCAUGUUCAAGGGAAUUCAAGGUUGAAAUUCACAAAGAGGCUUUAAUUCAAACACAAAGAGAGACCUAAAGAUAUGGGCAACCUCGAGAGAGAGAGAGAGAGAGAGAGAGAGAGAGAGAGGACAAAUAAAGCGCUAAUUAAAAGCCCAAGAGGGAAAGCUAGAGGGGCUCCAGACCAAGAGACAAGCAGACAUGAAUAACAUGAAUCUUCAGAGGGAAAUAGCCACUUGCAAAUCAAACAUCGAAUGACUAAUUGAAGUACAAGAGGAGAAUGCUAGACAAAGGAGUGGAGCUCUAUGGCUAACCUUAGGCGAUAAUAACUAGAGGUGAGAUUCCCUGUCCACGUACCCGGUACCCGUCCCGUACUCAGACGGGCGGGUACGGGGAAGGGGGGGAUUCCCAUCCCUGUCCCCGACCGAAAUCCUCCGCCAUUUUCGGGUACGAGGAUGGGGAUUAAAAUCUCCGCCCCCGGACAAUAUCCAUAUCCAGGUAAAUUGCAUUUAAACCUUAUAUAAUAUUUUAUAUAGUAUAAUUUAUAUAAAUAAUCUUAUAUAAUAGAUUAAAUACAUAAAAUAUGUCUAAAAAAUAUUUUAUUUAACCCCCUAUGUUUUUAAAUUUUCAAUAUUUCCAAAAUUUUUAAUUAUAAGUUUUAAACCCCAAAUGUCAAAUGUCAGA